GACAGAGGUGCCGAGCGUUAGGCGGAAUCACUGGGCUUAAAGCGUGUGUAGGCGGACUCGUAAGUGCUUUGUGAAAUCCCACGGCUCACCCGUGGAACUGCUUGGCAUACUGCGAGCCUUGAGCCACUUAGGGGCAACCGGAACAAACGGUGGGAGCGGUGAAAUGCGUAGAUAUCGUUUGGAACGCCAAUGGUGAAAACAGGUUGCUGGGAGUGCGCUGACGCUGAGACACGAAAGCCAGGGGAGCGAACGGG
rnacentral:rRNA from 1 species